AAAAACUAUUUUUAUUUAUGAUAAGUGUUUCUACUUGAAAAUACAGAAUUUUUCUUAUCAAAGUGAUUUAAACAUAGAUGCGCUGUGUGAAUAUAAUCUCAUUGUGUUGACAAAAGGUAGAGAAGGAUCUUGAGCUGAUAAGGAGUUGAAACUCAUUGAAGAGGGGCUGGACUCUGUACGCAUACCGUGGAUCAUGCACACCAAUGAGCUAUUAAUAGCAUUCAUCUUAGGGUAUUGGCUCCUACGUCAGACUGCAGCUUUCCUAUUCCCCAACAUGAGUAAAGGCUCUUCCACUCAAGAAGUGACAGAGUUCUGCUAUAGUGACGGCUAUAUACCAGGCCAGGAUGUGAUAACAGUGAACGGACGUGUCUACCCCAUGAUGAGUGAGAUAGAGAUCCCUCCGUUAUCGGUCUAUGUCAAGUCUGAGACGGAUGACAGUAAACAAUUGGUCUGUGUCCUUGACUUUCUAAUACCGUCCUCGGUGUCCUGUGUGUUAGAAAAGGAAACGAAAAAAGCCGGAGACCCGGAUCCGUCGAAGAUUAUGUAUAAGUUCAACAUCAUUGUUCGUGUUGCUCCGGACUGGAAUAACUGCCGGCUCAUUAUCGAGCACAGAACGAAAGACGCUCCAUGGGAUUAUAUUUCUUCAGUAAUACGAGUCCACCCUCUCCCUUUGCUGAAAAUCAAAAUCAAUGGGGCUCAGCUGAAUGCCCACAGGUGUCGCUUUGGCACAGACGUCGGCUCAGAGUUACUUGUCAUCUUCUGUGUGGAGAACCUUCAGGCCCCCAGACUUGAAGUGUCCUGGGAGAACGAGCACGGCGUGAUAGAGGAGAAUGGUUGCAUUACGAGAAAUCUAAAGCACACUAAGGCGGAUGAGUGGUUGCAGUUUGUAUUCUUGGACAACUGUCAUAAUGAUGGCUCUAUCUCGUGUAGAAUUGUUGACAAAGAGUCCAACCUUCUGAAUAUUGUGAAUGAAACAGUCACCCCGAAAAUGGAUGAGCCUACAGAGACAGAGUCUGACACUUCAGAUUAUAGUUGGAUAUUGUUCAUGUUACCUUUACUUAUCUCCAGCCUGUUCGCUUUAGCAGGGUUGCUUUGUUUUGCUCUUUCAUACAGAGCCUCCAAGAGAAAAGAGUCUACUGUAUCAGAUGAUGAGAGUACCAUCAAGCCGCCACCAGGUACUGCCCGUUCCAAAGCCCUUCUUCAAACUCCAUCUAAAACCAGUCCUAAUGCAUUAAAGGCUAUGUCUGAAAGCAGUCUCAAAUCAAUCAGGGAACGUGCCAAAAGGAACCUUAAGGUAGCAGAGUCCAAGGAGUUUUACUAUGCUUGAGUCAAACAAGGGUCCUCAAUCACACCAAAGGAAAACAUUGGACAAGAAAAUGGGACAUCCCCUGUCACAUUAAUACAUUUUUUUCUUUAGCUGACUUGUAAUUCGACAUUCAAUCUGGCAUUGAGUGGCAUGAUGUGGUCGAACGGUGUUUUGUCAAUUAAUCGACAGGAUGUUUCAAACAUCAUAAGGAUUAUAGUUGAUUAUACCCUAUCGAGACUGUUCAUUUAGUCAAUUAAUUUCUCUCAAGGAAGGUUUAUUUUAAUUUGAAAAUGCCUUACUUAACGAGGACUGAGUGAAAUGGGAGAUAAUAAAAGUGUUUUUCUAGGGCUGAGCUAGAAGGGUGACAGGAAAGGGAAUCAUUUGUGACAACUUGAAGAUUAUGUAGACACCUUGUCGCCUGACGUGAAAGACACAGUAGCUCCAGCUCUCUUUCUAUCUGACUUUAGCAUUACUGCUUGCGUAUAUUACCUUAGUAAAAUAAAAUGUUUGUAUGUUCUAUAAUUUUAUCAUACUUUUUCCAUUUUAUGCUAUUGUAAAUAACAAGUUGCAUUAGAAAUGCGUUCAAAACAACAUAAUUUUCCAUGUGUAUGUGUGUCAAACGUUGUAAGAAUUAUUACUGUUUAUUAUGUAAGUAAAUAUUACAUACGUUUUAA